rnacentral:rRNA from 1 species
ACGAACGCUGGCGGCGUGCCUAAUACAUGCAAGUAGAACGCUGAAGGAGGAGCUUGCUUCUCUGGAUGAGUUGCGAACGGGUGAGUAACGCGUAGGUAACCUGCCUGGUAGCGGGGGAUAACUAUUGGAAACGAUAGCUAAUACCGCAUAAGAGUAGAUGUUGCAUGACAUUUGCUUAAAAGGUGCAAUUGCAUCACUACCAGAUGGACCUGCGUUGUAUUAGCUAGUUGGUGGGGUAACGGCUUACCAAGGCGACGAUACAUAGCCGACCUGAGAGGGUGAUCGGCCACACUGGGACUGAGACACGGCCCAGACUCCUACGGGAGGCAGCAGUAGGGAAUCUUCGGCAAUAGACGGAAGUCUGACCGAGCAACGCCGCGUGAGUGAAGAAGGUUUUCGGAUCGUAAAGCUCUGUUGUAAGAGAAGAACGAGUGUGAGAGUGGAAAGUUCACACUGUGACGGUAUCUUACCAGAAAGGGACGGCUAACUACGUG